GGCGUAAAGCGCACGCAGGCGGGUCUAUUAAAGUCAGAUGUGAAAAGCCCCGAGCUUAACUUGGGAAUUGCAUCUGAAACUGGUUGGCUAGAGUCUUGUAGAGGGGGGUAGAAUUCCACGUGUAGCGGUGAAAUGCGUAGAGAUGUGGAGGAAUACCGGUGGCGAAGGCGGCCCCCUGGACAAAGACUGACGCUCAGGUGCGAAAGCGUGGGGAGCAAACAGGAUUAGAUACCCUGGUAGUCCACGCUGUAAACGAUGUCGAUUUAGAGGUUGUGGUCUUGAACCGUGGCUUCUGGAGCUAACGCGUUAAAUCGACCGCCUGGGGAGUACGGCCGCAAGGUUAAAACUCAAAUGAAUUGACGGGGGCCCGCACAAGCGGUGGAGCAUGUGGGUUUAAUUCGAUGCAACGCGGAAGAACCUUACCUACUCUUGACAUCCAGCGUAUCCUUUAGAGAUAAAUAAGUGCCUUCGGGGAACUCUGAGACAGGUGCUGCAUGGCUGUCGUCAGCUCGUGUUGUGAAAUGUUGGGGUUAAGUCCCCGCAACGAGCGCAACCCUU
rnacentral:rRNA from 1 species